rnacentral:tRNA from 1 species
GGUGCUAUGGCUCAAGUGGUAGAGCACUAGCCUUGAGCUGAAUUGCUGAGGGACAGCGCCCAGGCCCAGAGUUCAGGCCUCACGACCAGACCCACCCCCCCAAAAAAAAAUAAUGAGCAAGAAUCAGGGCUGGAGGCGUGUCCCACUGGUAAGGGAAGCCCUGAGUUUAAACCUCAGUACCGCCA